rnacentral:rRNA from 1 species
GAUGAACGCUGGCGGCGUGCCUAAUACAUGCAAGUCGAGCGAACAGAUGAGGAGCUUGCUCCUCUGACGUUAGCGGCGGACGGGUGAGUAACACGUGGAUAACCUACCUAUAAGACUGGGAUAACUUCGGGAAACCGGCGCUAAUACCGGAUAAUAUAUUGAACCGCAUGGUUCAAUAGUGAAAGACGGUUUUGCUGUCACUUAUAGAUGGAUCCGCGCCGCAUUAGCUAGUUGGUAAGGUAACGGCUUACCAAGGCAACGAUGCGUAGCCGACCUGAGAGGGGGAUCGGCCACACUGGAGCUGAGACACGGUCCAGACUCCUACGGGAGGCAGCAGUAGGGAAUCUUCCGCAAUGGGCGAAAGCCUGACGGAGCAAGGCCGCGUGAGUGAUGAAGGUCUUCGGAUCGUAAAACUCUGUUAUUAGGGAAGAACAAAUGUGUAAGUAACUAUGCACGUCUUGACGGUACCUAAUCAGAAAGCCACGGCUAACUACGUG